UCCAUCUUGUAGCAAUACAAGUGAAGACCUAGUGGCGAACGGGUGAGGAACACGUGAGAAAUUUGCCCCGAACUUUGGGAUAACAGUUGGAAACGACUGCUAAUACCGAAUGCCGUUACGAAGUGGCAUCACUUUGUAACGAAAGAAUUUCGGUUCGGGAGAAUCUCGCGGCCUAUCAGCUUGUUGGUGAGGUAACGGCUCACCAAGGCUACGACGGGUAGCUGGUCUGAGAGGAUGAUCAGCCACACUGGGACUGAGACACGGCCCAGACUCC
rnacentral:rRNA from 2 species